AUGGUGCCGGGAAAAUGGGAAAAUAAUCCUGCCCUUCUCACCCCUCAGAUUACUAAUUCCUCACGGCACCGAACCGGCUCAGCACCACGGCUGCCAAGCAGCUCUGCUAGAGCAGCGAGGCAGCAGCAAUCCUGAGAGAAAGGCGGCAUGUCCUGCUAGGAGGAGCCUGUGGCCGCCAUCCAGCGCUGCCCUGAUCGCGGCAGAGCCGUGGCUUGGCCGAGCCGUGCCGGGAGAGCCAUUUCGGAGCCCUUUCAUCCCCUUCUCCAGCCCUCUGCCUCCUCCGGAGCCCAGUGCACUGCACCAAGGUGCUGACAGAGAGUUGGGCGCCCAGCACAUCUCUGCUGCAUCAGUGCUGAAGCUGCUUUUCCAGGACCGAAGCUGCUUUUCCAGCCCAGAUGCCAAAAUAGAAAGGCUGUUGCAGAAACUGAGAGACCGGAUGCUCCACUUCUGCGCCAGGCAGUGGGAAAGGCAAGCAGGCAGCAGCCCAAGUUGCCAGGGGUGACUAUGGAGCUGACAAGGCCAGGAUCCAGCAAAACCCGCCCUGACCGAUGACUUCUGGGUUCCUGCUGACCUUUGAUCCCUUCUGGUUUGGUCGGGAACAAAAGAGCCUGUUCACCAGGGCCCCUCACAGGUAUAUUUAACGAAAGCAGCCAUUGCCUAUAUGCUGAUUAAUGUGUUUGCCUUACAUGUGGCAGGAGGAGGACCACGGCCACCCCAUGCUGCUGUGCAGGUAAGCGCCAGCUUACCUAGCUUGUAUGUCACACAAAAUAAAUCGAGGAAUCCACCAUGAGGCACAUAAAAACGACUACAGCAGGCAAAGACAAUUUUUGUCACUGAUGCAAGAAGUUGCUGAGACUGGUGAUGAUGCCAUGAGCACUAUCCCUGUGGACCCAAAAAUCUGUGGAGAGUUUCUGUCAUUAGAGAUUUGAUGCUGCUCUGACACCAAGGGCCAUCAGCAGCUCAAACAUGCUGUUGCAAAGAUGCUGUCGGCUACAGCAACCAUGGAGGAUUCUGUCCAACCCUCAGCAGCCACUUUCAUUACCGCAUAUUGUCACCAUAGCAAUGAAGCUGAAUGCGGGCAAAUGACAAGGGUCUGUCAUCACUCAGCCCUGGCCUGACAGCCCUCAGCACCAGUCGCUCUCAUCCAGCCUCAAUACACAAAUAGGUCCUCAACAGGCCCAAAAGUAAUAAUCUGCCCCUCCACAAAGUCAUCGUUUCACUGGCACUCUCAGUAGCAGUGUGCAGCCCUUAUACCCCCUGAAGAUGGUUCUGCUUUAUUCCACAGUGAGUUUUCAUGCUUUAGGGAAAAGUUGGAAAAGAGAGAGGCAGUGGUACCCAAACAUCAAAUAUCAGAGAUAGCCAAGGGAAAAAGAAA